GACGAACGCUGGCGGCGUGCUUAACACAUGCAAGUCGAACGAUGACGACCGAGCUUGCUCGGUCUGAUUAGUGGCGAACGGGUGAGUAACACGUGAGCAACCUGCCCUUCACUCUGGGAUAACCUCGGGAAAUCGGGGCUAAUACCGGAUAUGAGCUCCUGUCGCAUGGCGGGUGUUGGAUAGUUUUUCGGUGAAGGAUGGGCUCGCGGCCUAUCAGUUUGUUGGUGAGGUAGUGGCUCACCAAGGCGAUGACGGGUAGCCGGCCUGAGAGGGCGACCGGCCACACUGGGACUGAGACACGGCCCAGACUCCUACGGGAGGCAGCAGUGGGGAAUAUUGCACAAUGGGCGAAAGCCUGAUGCAGCGACGCCGCGUGAGGGAUGACGGCCUUCGGGUUGUAAACCUCUUUCAGCAGGGAAGAAGCGAAAGUGACGGUACCUGCAGAAGAAGCGCCGGCUAACUACGUG
rnacentral:rRNA from 1 species